CUGACUCUGGCUCUGACCCUUGGCUCCAAUUCCUGACUACUGACACCUGCUGUACUCAUGAGGCUUGGCUGCUGCUCUAACCACUGGGUACAACUGCCUGUGUCCCAGUCACGGACACCCACCAAACAAGCUCCGGCAGCUGAGAACAAAAUGGCUGCUGAACUCUGCACUGGGCUAAACCACUGACUAACAUGGAAAGUAAGGAGAGACCACAAACUUGGACGAAGUAAAAAGUAACAACCCUGUUCAAAAGCAACGUUCAGACCUUCCGUAACAGGA